rnacentral:rRNA from 1 species
CAGAGGUCUCAAGCGUUGUUCGGAUUUAUUGGGCGUAAAGGGUGUGUAGGUGGUCUGGUAAGUCGGAUGUGAAAUCCCGGGGCUCAACCCCGGAACUGCAUUCGAUACUGCUGCGCUAGAGUACUGGAGAGGAGAUUGGAAUUUACGGUGUAGCAGUGAAAUGCGUAGAUAUCGUAAGGAAGACCAGUGGCGAAGGCGGAUCUCUGGACAGUUACUGACACUGAGGCACGAAGGCCAGGGGAGCAAACGGG